GAUGAACGCUGGCGGCGUGCCUAAUACAUGCAAGUCGAGCGAACGGACGAGAAGCUUGCUUCUCUGAUGUUAGCGGCGGACGGGUGAGUAACACGUGGAUAACCUACCUAUAAGACUGGGAUAACUUCGGGAAACCGGAGCUAAUACCGGAUAAUAUUAUGAACCGCAUGGUUCAAAAGUGAAAGACGGUCUUGCUGUCACUUAUAGAUGGAUCCGCGCUGCAUUAGCUAGUUGGUAAGGUAACGGCUUACCAAGGCAACGAUGCAUAGCCGACCUGAGAGGGUGAUCGGCCACACUGGAACUGAGACACGGUCCAGACUCCUACGGGAGGCAGCAGUAGGGAAUCUUCCGCAAUGGGCGAAAGCCUGACGGAGCAACGCCGCGUGAGUGAUGAAGGUCUUCGGAUCGUAAAACUCUGUUAUUAGGGAAGAACAUAUGUGUAAGUAACUGUGCACAUCUUGACGGUACCUAAUCAGAAAGCCACGGCUAACUACAUG
rnacentral:rRNA from 1 species